AGUGAACGCUGGCGGUAGACCUAACACAUGCAAGUCGAACGGCAGCACAGUAAGAGCUUGCUCUUACGGGUGGCGAGUGGCGGACGGGUGAGGAAUACAUCGGAAUCUACUUUUUCGUGGGGGAUAACGUAGGGAAACUUACGCUAAUACCGCAUACGACCUACGGGUGAAAGCAGGGGAUCUUCGGACCUUGCGCGAUUGAAUGAGCCGAUGUCGGAUUAGCUAGUCGGCGGGGUAAAGGCCCACCAAGGCGACGAUCCGUAGCUGGUCUGAGAGGAUGAUCAGCCACACUGGAACUGAGACACGGUCCAGACUCCUACGGGAGGCAGCAGUGGGGAAUAUUGGACAAUGGGCGCAAGCCUGAUCCAGCCAUACCGCGUGGGUGAAGAAGGCCCUCGGGUUGUAAAGCCCUUUUGUUGGGAAAGAAAAGCAGCAGGUUAAUACCCCGCUGUUCUGACGGUACCCAAAGAAUAAGCACCGGCUAACUUCGUG
rnacentral:rRNA from 1 species